UGCCUACGGGGGGCAGCAGUGGGGAAUAUUGCACAAUGGGGGAAACCCUGAUGCAGCGACGCCGCGUGAGUGAAGAAGUAUCUCGGUACGUAAAGCUCUAUCAGCAGGGAAGAAAAUGACGGUACCUGACUAAGAAGCCCCGGCUAACUACGUGCCAGCAGCCGCGGUAAUACGUAGGGGGCAAGCGUUAUCCGGAUUUACUGGGUGUAAAGGGAGCGUAGACGGCAGCACAAGUCUGGAGUGAAAGGUACCGGCUCAACCGGUACAGGCUCUGGAAACUGGCGGGCUAGAGAGCAGGAGAGGGG
rnacentral:rRNA from 1 species